UGGUAUGCAAGGACUCAAUGGAGCGAAAUAUUUCAUAACCAUAGUAGCUCUUUGUAUAAGGACAGCUUACUCUCUUAACAAAGGGGUUAGUUGGAAUAUAUUGGCAUGGAUUACCUCUGUGAUCGUUGUGGUUUUUGGUACCUAUUGGGACCUAAUCUUGGACUGGGGUCUCCUUCAAAGAAAGUCGAAGAAUCGUUGGUUGAGAGACAAGCUCCUAGUCCCACAUAAGAGUGUCUAUUUUGCAACCAUGGUGAGAAAGAAACAAUAAGUUCUGGGAUUUACCAUAUGGUUCAAUCUCAAAAUUACUAACGAAUUUCAUGAAAAAUUAUGCAAGUUUUGAAUGUUUUGCUGAGAUUCGUUUGGCUAUAAAUAGUGUUCCAUCAGGUUCCUUUCUUGCAUAAACAAACCAUAGCUGCAAUUGUAGCUGUCCUAGAGAUCAUUCGCCAUGGCAUAUAGAAUUUCUUUAGGUUGGAGAAUGAACAUCUAAAUAAUGUCGGCAAGUAUCGUGCUUUUAAGUUAGUGCCUCUGCCUUUCAACUACAAUGAAGAUGAUGACAAAGAUGAGUGAAACUUAAUAGCACAAAGCAGGAGUAUGGGCAAAGAAGAGCACAUAGAGGUUCGAAGGGCCUAGAUAAUAAGAAGAUAUUCUACAGGCUGCAAAGAAGAGAUUGAGUACAGCAUAAGGCCCAUACUACUGUAAUACACUGAAUCAUUUCCCUUGUAACAAGAUCUCAUCCAGUAGUUAGAUUAUUAGUGAAAUAGUUCGGCUUCCCAUAACUGAUAUAUAUAGAUAUCAGUAACAGUAUAAAUGGUGCGUUGAAAAGUAAUAAAAUCAAUCUUGAUCUUUCAUUAUGGUAUCAGAGCCUGUCUCAGCUCCGAUGAAUGAUUGACAAUUCUCUUGUGAGAUUAAACUUGCCAUCCAUCGAUUCUCAAAGCUUCGACUCCGACGAAGACCCUCAUGUAUCUUCUCCAUUAUCUAUACCUGUGAUUGCUACAAUGGAGUCGUCCUCUUCGUCUGAAGUUGUCAUUCCUUCAAAUCUUGGUCUUUCGAUCUCGAAUCUUGAAUCACGUGUUACAGUGAUGUUGGAUAACACUAAUUUCAUAGUGUGGAAAAGCUAGAUGCAAAACAUCCUUCGUGCCACUGAUCUAUUAAAGAUUAUAGAUGGUACCUUUUUUUACCCUAGCAAUACAAUUCGUAGUAUAUUAGGAAUAGAGAUUGUGAAUCCAGAAGCAAUCCAUUGGAAUAUGAUUGAUGCACACCUUCUUAGUUGCAUCACAGCCACACUUUCCCGUUCUAUAUUCACCUAUGUUCUUUAUCUUCAGACCAACUCUCAGGUAUGGCAAAUGCUUGAUAAGCGGUUUACUUCUCUAUCAAGAUCUCAUAUUCGUCAAUUAAAGAACAAAUUGAGUUCAAUUUCAAAGAAAUCAGACUCCAUGGAGAUAUAUUUGAGUAAAAUCAAAAGUUUAGUUAACCAAUUGAGCAUUGCCACUUCAUUUGUUGAUGAUGAGGAUAUUGUUCUCCUCACUUUGAAUGGCUUGCCUAAUAAAUAUGAUACUAUUAAAACUAUUAUUCGUACUCGUUCAAAGAGUAUCACUAUAGAAGAGCUUUCUUCUUUACUCUGCUAAGAGGCUAUUCAUAUUGAAGGCAAAUUGAAACAAGCCUCGGAUCUCCCUAUUGUUUAUGCAACAAUGAAGGAACUUAUGUCUUCUUCAAAAGAUUUUACUUCUUAUUCCCAUGGUUCUUGAUAUUAUCAUCGCGGAAAUAGAUCUACUCAAGGUCGAUCUUCUUUAUUUCGUAGUAGAUUGCAAGGUCGAAGAGGCUGAUCAAGUUUUGGUAGUUAUGGCAUGAUCUGUCAAAUCUGUGGCAAGAAAAAUCACACUGCUCUAGAGUGUUGGCACAAACUAGACCCUAAUUUUCAACCUUCUCCUUCAUAUCCGCAUCACUCAGCUCAAUCUCAGCAGCAUCAAUCUAAAGCCUUUGUUGCAUCUGUGCCAACUGAUACUACUACUUCAACCUCUUCUCCUUGGUUCUUAGACUCUGCUGUAUCUGAUCAUCUUACCAAUGAUUUGUACCUUUUGAAUUCUUAUCAACCAUAUAAUGGAGGAGAUCAAGUCACCAUUGGUAAUGGUUCUUCACUCCCUAUUCAUAAUACUGGGCAAGGACCGGUGCAAUACCGGUGGAUGUAUGCAUUUGAGAGGUACAUAUAUAUUCUUAAGGGCUAUGUGCGUAACAAAGCUCGUCCAGAAGGCUCUAUUAUUGAAGGUUACAUUGAUAAUGAGGCUCUUACCUUUUGCUCUGUGUACUUCAACGAAGGUGAGACAAAAUUUAAUAGACCAGAGCAGAAUUAUGAUGGGCCUAUUAAAGCUACACAAGAUGGAAACAUUUUUGUAUUUAAGCAAAAAGUACGUGGAAUAGGAGCUGUAGUUAAUGAUGUGUUGAAUUUAAAAGAUUUGAAGAAAGCUCGAUGGUAUGUGCUGAAUAAUUGUGAUGAAGUUCAACCGUAUAUGAGACCUUGAGCAGAUACUGCAAGAAGUACAACACCGCUGGCUCCGUCCUGCUACAACAACACUAUGAAGUUCUUCGAAACCACAAAAAGUUUCACUUGACACCAGAACCACCUGCUAGGCCACCAGGUAUGUCCACAAAGGCCAGAGGACGAGUAGGGUAUGUACCUAGACCCCAUGCCCCCACACCCCAUGCAUCCACUAAAUCAGUUCGCUCAUCCACUCAAUUAACACCUGGACCCCAUGCAUCCAUUAAAUCAGUUCGAUCAUCUACGCUACACCCAUUUACAUCAGAAUCGGUACAUGAAGUUACAUCACAAGUUUCACACUCAGAUACUUCUAGCACACAUUGCAGCAUUGAUGAUUUUAGGCACAUCCAAGGGUAAGAGAGGACGUGGGAAAUCAUGAAGCCCCAAAUUGGCCAAGCUAAAAAAUCAAGGGGUGCAAUUGCCUAUUCAACUUUGUAAGGUUAGUGGACGACCAUAUGGUGAAGCAUCUGAAAAAUUUACCAGUGAAUUAGGGAUUGUCACUAGGAAAUUUGCCCUACAAAAUGAGCCAUUGUGGACUGAUAUUAGUGAAGAGUAUAAAGAAACAUUGAUUGCAUACCUUCAGGUAAGUGGUACAAUUGCUGAGAUUUAGAUUUCCUCUUCCCAAUUAUUUCCCUUGUAAAUUUCCUCUUCCCAAAUUAUUUCACCAGGCAUUUUGAUAGCACUGUUUGUACCAUUUAUUUGUUUCUGCCACAAUAAUUAACAAGCACCAUAAAUAACUUUGAGGGAGCAUAGUUUUGCUCAGUUGAAACUAGAAAGCUUAAUGGGCUGCUAUUCCCAUCCACAUCUUCUGCAUGAAUUUAUUAUUAUUAUAAAUAUAUAGAUGUAUAUAUAUACUGUGAGAUGUGUGGCCUUCAGACCUUUUAUGUUUCCACUAGUUGUGUGUUCUCUUCUACCAGAAGACACCAUUGUCUGCUAUCCUUCCUUACCAGAGCUAUCUAUGUCCUUUUCAGUGGGAACAUAAUCUUUACAAAGAUAGAAUCUUAAGAAAUUAAGAAAUUAAAAUGGUAAAACAUACCAUGAACUUGAGCAAAGGAGACUUUGAUAAUAAUACAUGUUUUGUGCAAGAAUUAUUAAAGGAGUCAGUACUGAAGAGUAUGGGGACCAAAAUAAGAACCAGUUGAUUUCUAUAUAUGUGACUCACAUGUGCAGCUAUAUAAUUCUGUGCAUUAUCUUUCAAUCUGCAUAAGCAACCUAUCAAUUUUCAUAAAACGAGAGAGAGGUAAUGACCCCUUGAAUGAUCAAUUCAAUAAUAUCACUUCUUCAUAAUAACACCACAUUAUACACAUUCAGAACUCUUUUUUAAUGUGCUUUAAUUUUUUCUUGUUUGGUAUGACAAGAAGGUUUUAAGUUUACCAAUGAACCGUAUGAUAUCGAAUCUAUCCUCAAUUUGAUGCAUGACCUAUAUAAGAGCUAUCGCCAUGACCUACAACAACACUUUAGAAGUUUUCCUACAAUGGAAUCUACCCUUGCGGAUCCACCUGAAAAUAUGGAAAAAGAGGUGUGGAGGUUCUUGUGCGAAAAGUGGUCUGACAAGGACUAUAAGGUGAGAUGUGGCAAGAAUAAGUUGAAUCGGGAGAAGUUGAAAGUCCUCCACACUGCUAGCUCGAAAGCCUUCAAAAAAGUGCAAUAUGAUGAGUGAGACCGUGCCACUGGAGAGGAACUUGGACUUGUUGAGUUAUACAAAAAGACGCAUUUUAGUGAGAAAAAAGAGGCAUGGGUGCAUGCUAAUGCUGAGAUUAGACAUUACAAGCUUGAAAAGCAACAAGACAAAGCUAUUGAAGAUGGAUCUGGCUUGCUAUCCGAUGAGCAACUUUCUAUUGAGGUAUUUGGACAAAAAUCUGGCUACGUUCGAGGUUUAGGGCAUGGUCGAAACCAAGUACAACAUUAUCUGGAAAACGUACCUAUGCCCAACUUGAGAGGGAUAAUGAGGCUCCUACAAGGGAGGUUAAAGAGCAACGAAGAAUCAAUAAGGAGCUGGUGGGAAGAAUUCAUAUCUUGGAGUCCGAUCGCACGGGAAUACAAUGCCAAAGUCGACUUCUUGAUGCAGCAGAUCAAUCGAAGAGGACCCUCUAUUGAUUCUUCUUCUUAGUCCUGCAAGCUUGCGUCGAUUUGAAGCUUGGGAGCUCUUUGCUAGAUUUUGAAUGCCAUUUCAACGAAGUAUUUGAGAAGAAGAUGCGAUGAGUUGUUUUGUUAUGUAGGUAGAUAUAACUCCAAUUACAAUCUGUUCAUUGAAUAGUUGAAUGCUACAAAUAAUACUUAUGACACUAGCUUUAUAAAUUGGAAAUGAUACUUUUGAAAUCUCUGUCAAUUUAUGAUAUACAAUCAAGAUAUUGCGUACUAAUAAAUCAGAACAUGGUAUUUGUUUGUUAUUAAA